UGUCUGCGGGGACGUUACCAUGGC
rnacentral:piRNA from 1 species